GACGAACGCUGGCGGCGUGCUUAACACAUGCAAGUCGAACGCUGAAGCUCAGCUUUUGUUGGGUGGAUGAGUGGCGAACGGGUGAGUAACACGUGAGUAACCUGCCCCCUUCUUUGGGAUAACGCCCGGAAACGGGUGCUAAUACUGGAUAUUCACUGGUCUUCGCAUGGGGGUUGGUGGAAAGGGUUUUUCUGGUGGGGGAUGGGCUCGCGGCCUAUCAGCUUGUUGGUGGGGUGAUGGCCUACCAAGGCUUUGACGGGUAGCCGGCCUGAGAGGGUGACCGGUAACAUUGGGACUGAGAUACGGCCCAGACUCCUACGGGAGGCAGCAGUGGGGAAUAUUGCACAAUGGGCGCAAGCCUGAUGCAGCGACGCCGCGGGAGGGAUGGAGGCCUUCGGGUUGUGAACCUCUUUCGCUCAUGGUCAAGCCGCAACAAUGGUUGUGGUGAGGGUAGUGGGUAAAGAAGCGCCGGCUAACUACGUG
rnacentral:rRNA from 1 species